GCUCACCAACGCCGCGAUGGGUAGCUGGUCUGAGAGGACGAUCAGCCACACUGGGACUGAGACACGGCCCAGACUCCUACCGGAGGCAGCAGUGGGGAAUCUUGCGCAAUGCGCGAAAGCGUGACGCAGCAACGCCGCGUGGGGGAAGAAGGCCUUCGGGUUGUAAACCCCUUUCAGGAGGGACGAAGCGCGGGCGGUUAAUAGCCGAUCCGUGUGACGGUACCUCCAGAAGAAGCCCCGGCUAACUACGUGCCAGCAGCCGCGGUAAUACGUAGGGGGCAAGCGUUGUCCGGAAUCAUUGGGCGUAAAGCGCGUGUAGGCGGUCCGGUAAGUCGGCUGUGAAAGUCCAGGGCUCAACCCUGGGAUGCCGGUCGAUACUGCCGGACUAGAGUUCGGAAGAGGCGAGUGGAAUUCCCGGUGUAGCGGUGAAAUGCGCAGAUAUCGGGAGGAACACCAAUGGCGAAGGCAGCUCGCUGGGACGUUACUGACGCUGAGACGCGAAAGCGUGGGGAGCAAACAGGAUUAGAUACCCUGGUAGUCCACGCCGUAAACGAUGGGCACUAGGUGU
rnacentral:rRNA from 1 species